rnacentral:lncRNA from 1 species
AAGAUUGUUUAGAAGUAUGGAGAAAGACUUAUUGAAAUUUGGUCCCAAAUGGCUUUACAACUCAGAAACAUUGCGUUGAACCACUAAAUGGCUUGUCUAGUGUUGAUUGGGGUUAUAAUAUGUUAGAAUACAAUGAAUUUGAUUAAUUACAAAUGCUAGAGAUGCAUGAAGAGUGUUUAGAAGUGUGUAGAAAGACUUGCUGUAAUUUGGUCCCAAAUGGGC